rnacentral:rRNA from 1 species
ACUUUACAAUGCUGGCAACAGCGAUAAGGGAACCUCGAGUGCCAGGUUACAAAUCUGGCUGUCGAGAUGCCUAAAAAGCAUUUCAUAGCAAGGGCCGGGCAAGACCGGUGCCAGCCGCCGCGGUAACACCGGCGGCUCGAGUGGUAACCGUUAUUAUUGGGUCUAAAGGGUCUGUAGCCCGCCGGAUAAGUCUCUUGGGAAAUCUGGCAGCUUAACUGUCAGGCUUUCAGGAGAUACUGUCUGGCUCGAGGCCGGGAGAGGUGAGAGGUACUUCAGGGGUAGGGGUGAAAUCUUGUGAUCCUUGACGGACCACCAGUGGCGAAGGCGUCUCACCAGAGCGGACCUGACGGCAAG